rnacentral:rRNA from 1 species
UACGUAGGGUGCGAGCGUUAAUCGGAAUUACUGGGCGUAAAGCGUGCGCAGGCGGUGCACCAAGCUCGAUGUGAAAGCCCCGGGCUUAACCUGGGAAUGGCAUUGAGGACUGUGUGGCUUGAGUGCGGCAGAGGGAGGUGGAAUUCCACGUGUAGCAGUGAAAUGCGUAGAGAUGUGGAGGAACACCGAUGGCGAAGGCAGCCUCCUGGGCCGACACUGACGCUGAGGGCACGAAAGCGUGGGGAGCGAACAGG